CUAUGGAGGGUUUGAUCCUGGCUCAGGGCUAACGCUGGCGGCGUGUCUUAGCCAUGCAAGUCGAGCGGGCCUGUGGGGUUUACCUGCAGGUCAGCGGCGGACGGCGGAGUAACACGU
rnacentral:rRNA from 1 species